rfam:Pongo abelii chromosome 15.
UAGUGUGUAUGUGAGGGAGUAGGAUAUAUGGUUGUUAGACAACUACAAUCUUUUCUCACAACAGACAG